GGAACCUUUCUGAAGGCGGUGCAGUGAGGCAGAGGAAAGGGAAGCUGGGUUCUGAGCUCAGCCCUGUGCAGGAGUUGUACACAGUGCCUUUUGGAUCCAGAGCCUCCCGUGCCAGGAAUCCACAGUGUUUCUCUGCAGGUCUCCCACGAGCCCACAUCACCCAAGGACAGUGAGCCUCAGGGAGGGGAAGAACUCUCAGCUGCAUGCCUGCUGAAUCUCGCUACUCCUGCACCUUCUGAUGAAGGGUCCCCAUCCUUGUCACCUUCCAGCCUUCCUCAGCUCUAAUAGGAUCCCUGAGGCUGGCUGUCCUGGAGGAGGCCAAGCUGCCUCAGCUGCCAGGCUGUGUCCAGCCCUGGGGCUCUCUUGGCCCUCCCCUAUCUUCACUCCCCCUCCAGCCCAUCAGUGAUCCAUCCCAGACAGGACAGUCUCAACCACUCCACAUCUGACUCCAGGAGAAGGCGACCUCAUGGUUUUUCCAGAGGGAACAUAUGGCAAUGAGCUUCUAGUGGUCAUGAUGGAUUCUGAAGCGUGAAGAUGAGGCUCCCGGGAGCCCCAGAGCCUUAUGUGGCAGGGGAAGAGUGUGACCCCAGGUCACCUUCCCUUUCAGGAAGCUGAGCCCCUCCGGAUGCCUCAGAAAGAGAAACCAGCACUUCCCCACAUGGCUCUUCAGUGGCCGCCACCCUGGACAUCGGAGCUGUGGCUUCUCCUGCUGGAUGGAUGCCCACAGCCCUGGAGAGAGCACGGAUGUGAGGACUUGAAAGGCUCCCACUUAUCACCGAGGAAGCAGGAGGAGGACAAGAGCCCCUCUGCCUCUGGAGAGAGAGACCCGGAACCUGGUGCUCCAACCAAAUGCUGUAGCUGGGACCAUCCAUCUUGGAGAAGCGGUCCAGGCCAACUGGAAAGUGUCCAGAGGUGCCACAGCCACGCUGAGUCCAAGGAAACAGUGCCGAGCAUCCAGAGUCACAGGGGCAGCAGCCAAGAAGAUGGUUCCCGAGGUUCACCUUUGCCUGGCCUCGUUUCCCACUGCGCCCUGGUUUGUGCCUUCUGCUCACACUGGAUGCUGCCUUGCCUUUCAGUAAGUGACUUUUCUGCUUAAGUGCCUAGAGUCACUUCCAGAUCUGGACAACUGAAAUCUCUGACUCACUCAGCUGAGAAUAAUCAUCUAUUAACACCUUAGCUCUUUUAUGAUGUUCUGUCUUGCCAGCUAUUAUAUGAAGCAAAAGGAACUCCAGGACAGGGACACUCUGAUGGACUCUGCAGUGGAUGUGAGAGGUUCAGAACUCACUUCCAUCUAGAAGUCAAGAGUUUUAGUGUAAGAUGCUGGGUGGCUAGAGGUUGUAGAGAAACUGUCACCUCUUUUCCAAAUCUGCUGAGGGAUGACCCUGAAAAAUAGGUCAGUGUUUCACAGUGAUCUGUGCUGAUUACAGCACUGUGUCUGGAAGGAGGUGAUACAUUUUUCCCUAGAACUCCAGAUGGAGAAAUGGGCUCCACCAGCCCCUGCUGUUUCAUUCUGGGCUGGAAUUCUGGUUGAAGCUCUCAGAGCAGAGAUUAACAGGGUGCUAUUGGGGAGUCAAGCUGCUGUGAGUUCCUGUCUGUAGGAACUGGGCUGUGUGUGCUCCCCCAUGUGGAAGAGCUCUGCUCCUCCAGGCAGUUCUGCCAGCACCAGAGCUGAGGUGUCUGUCAGCCUGGUCUUAGGUCCACAGCUCAGCGAGACCAGUCUCAAAAUGCCACAGCCCUGGGCUUCUCCCAUGGGUUCUUUCACCUUUUAAACCAAGAUGAAGCAAGAGUCUUUGCUUGCUGGUCAGAACACCCACUGCCCUUCUAGCCUCAUGCAGGAAGUUGCUUAAUGAACUCAAAAAUAAUUAAUCACGGAGAGGAGAUUUCCCACACUGAGUCUGUGGUUUCCUGCCCUUCAGAACGGGUUUCCUGCCCUCCCUUCCAGUGCCUCUCACUGCCGGUGUAUCAUCCUGAGCUCAGAUACCUGCUUUCCCUCUCCACCAACUCAAUCCUUAUUUUUGCCCUACUUUAUCUUCCUUUUACUUUCCUCUGCAAACUUAUUUUCUCCCAUACCCAUACCCUUGUGCCCAUUAAUGUUUGCUUUCUGGAAAUAGUUCCACUUCAAGAGAGUUUUGUGGCAUCCUUGGCUCUCUCUCCUGCUGAACUAGACGGAGCAUAUGUGUAUCUUUGGCCCUCACCCCACUUCUUCCCAAUCUGAUACUGUUAGGGUCAAAUUGUGUCUCCCUGAGGAAUAUGUUGAAGUCCUAAACCACAGUACCUCAAAAUGAAAGAUAUUUGGAAAUAGGGUCAUUGCAGAACUAAUUAGUUAAGAUGAGGCUGUAAUGAAGUAGGACGAGCCCCUACUUAUAAGGACUCAAUCCAAUUUGACUAGUGUUCUUAUAAGAUGACCACCAUGUGAAAACAUAGGGAGAAUGCCAUUUGACAACAAAGGCAGAUGCUGGAGUCAUACAGGUGUAAGCCAAAUAAUACCCAGAUUGCCAGCAAUCACCUGAAGUUAGGAAGAGGCAAGUGCGGGCAGUUCUCCUACAGCAUGUCCUGCUGACUCCUUGAUUUUGAACUUUCAGACUCCAGAUCUGUUGGACAAUAAAUAUUUGUUGUUCUAAAGCAUCCAGUUUGUGGCAUUGUUGUGGUCGCCCUAGGAAAUGAAUACAAAUGCCAUUGGGAAGAUCCCAGGGACUUGCUUCUAGAGCCUCUUCUGCCACCAACCCUGAACUUCACCAGGCUUCCAGUACUUACCUGAAAACUUCCUUGGGGAAAAUAAAGCUGAUGUUUCCAUAAGUGGCAGGGCUCUCUAGAAAUUUAAAUUCUGUAACACAUAAUAUUUGAGGUGGUUGGUUGACCCUCACUGCCUUAUUAUGUUUCCCUGCCUACUCCAGCUGCUUUUUUCCUGCACAGUGAAUAACCGCCCAGCAUCCUGCAUGAGGCUAUUAUGGGUUAUGUCCAUGGUUUGUUGCCUCCCUUACCCCUGCUGGAUGGUAAGCUCCCUGAGGGCAGGGAUCUGAUUUGUUCACUGGCACAAAGUAGACACUUGAUAAACCUCUGUUGAAUAAAUAAAAACUGAGCCAGGACAUUUCCAACCCGACCUCAUGGAAGAGCUACAAUUCCUCUGCAAGAGGCGAGGUGGGGUGGAGUCAGGGGAG
rnacentral:lncRNA from 1 species